rnacentral:rRNA from 10 species
UUCUAUGGCCCUACCACCAUGGACACGCCUGAUCUCGUCUGAUCUCGGAAGCUAAGCAUGGUCGGGCCUGGUUAGUACUUGGAUGGGAGAUCGUCUGGGAAUACCAGGUGCUGUAAAUG